rnacentral:rRNA from 1 species
GUCGUGCGAGAAAUAUCUUCGGAUAUGAGUAGAGCGGCGGACGGGUGAGUAACGCGUAGGAAUCUACCUAGUAGAAGGGGAUAGCCCGAGGAAACUCGGAUUAAUACCGUAUACCUCCUUAGGGAGAAAGAGGGCCUCUCUUGAUGCUCUCGCUAUUAGAUGAGCCUGCGUAAGAUUAGCUUGUUGGUGAGGUAAUGGCUCACCAAGGCUACGAUCUUUAGCUGGUCUGAGAGGACGAUCAGCCACAUUGGGACUGAGACACGGCCCAGACUCCUACGGGAGGCAGCAGUGGGGAAUAUUGGACAAUGGGCGCAAGCCUGAUCCAGCCAUACCGCGUGUGUGAAGAAGGCCCUAGGGUUGUAAAGCACUUUAAGCAGGGAGAAAAAGUUAUAAGUUAAUACCUUAUGACCUUGAUGUUACCUGCAGAAUAAGCACCGGCUAAUUCCGUGCCAGCAGCCGCGGUAAUACGGAAGGUGCAAGCGUUAAUCGGAAUUACUGGGCGUAAAGCGCGCGUAGGUGGUUUGUUAAGUUGGAUGUGAAAGCCCUGGGCUCAACCUAGGAACUGCAUCCAAAACUAACUCACUAGAGUACGAUAGAGGGAGGUAGAAUUCAUAGUGUAGCGGUGGAAUGCGUAGAUAUUAUGAAGAAUACCAGUGGCGAAGGCGGCCUCCUGGAUCUGUACUGACACUAAGGUGCGAAAGCGUGGGUAGCGAACAGGAUUAGAUACCCUGGUAGUCCACGCCGUAAACGAUGACAACUAGCUGUUGGAAGACAACGUCUUUCAGUGGCGCAGCUAACGUUUUAAG